GUAUCAUAUAUUUAUAUUUUUAGUUUGUACCCACUUUUAAUAUUCAAUCUUUUUUUAAAGUUGUAGAUUUUAUUUUUAGUUUUAAUUUGUACCCAUGUAUUAAUUUCUUUUUGCGCCCAUAUUUUUAAAAAUGUCAUUUGUACUCAUAAUUUUUUAAUCUUUUAUUUGUACCCUAAUUUAUUUAUAAUGUACCCAUUCUUCUUUAUUAAUGUACCACUUUGUUAUAUGUGAAAUGUACCAAUUUUUUUAACAAUAUGGAUACAUUCUUUUGCCAUUUAUUAUUUCGUAUUGUUACAUAGUUUUUAUCCAUUUAUUUAAUUAAAAUGUUUGAAUUUUUUUAUUGUAGCCAUUUCUAAUCGUAUUAUAAUGAAGGAUUUUAAAUUUAUAGGAUUAUAAAUCUCAUAAAAUAUCAAACAAUUAAUAUCAAAACUGUAAAAAUAUAAAUAUUGAUAGUAAGAUAAUGAGAUGUACAAAGUUAAUGAACUUUGAUUAAAUUUUGAAUACCAUUAGGGUUUUAAUCAAAGAGUGUUAGAGACAAAAGACCGCAUCCAAAGUAUUCUUUAAUUUAUUUUCCAACCUUGGGAAUGUUGAUAGAUGAAGGAAGGACAUUCUUCAGCGUAGCAGCUUGGCCAAUAACUAAAUUAGAUUGUCGAGAUGGAGUUUCAUGUACAUUCAUCUGUUGCUUAAUUUGUUCGUUUGUACCUCCUCUUUUCUUGUAUUCGUUUUCUUCAAGUUUGAGGAUGUGUCAAAGUUUUUAUUCCCUUCUCAUUUCCUACAUUAUGAGAGGCAUGUUUUUUAUCUGCCGACCAAAUUUAAUUUUUAUUUUUUAUAUUAAUAAAAAAUUUCUCGUUAAAAAAAAAUAUUUCAGAGUAAAUGAAGUAAUUCUUGACGUCCUUUUGCAAAAAGAAUACUGAUAACAGGGAUUUGGAUCCUCUUCUGAGCUAAUGGAGAGGAUCCUCCUUACCAGUCAUUGUGGACCGUUAAAUUUUUAUCCAACAGCUAUAAUUAUUAUAACUUUAAAAGAAUCCGCUGUUUGUACUUAUUGGAUAAAAAUUCAACGAUUCACGAUAACUGGUCAGGAGGAUCCUCUCCAUUAGCUCAUGAGAGGAUCCAAAUCCUGAUAACAGUACCUUGGACUUCUGUGAAAAAGUUGGAUUUGACACCUUUAGAAACGACAAAGAUUUUAUAUAUUAUCUCUCAAAUAUACGGCGGGGAGUUAAUUGGCAUUAUCUUAAGACGGCGCCUUAGUUUUUUGACGAUGUGGUACCCUAGGAGGACUUUAAUUAUUGGGAAAAUUUGAAAUAGGUACGUUUGUCUGGCCUUUGCUCGACUUUGGUCAUCACCUACGUCAUACGUGUUACAUGUUCGGAGAAACCCAAUACCACAUUCAAGUACAAUUUCACAACCAUGACCAAAAUCAAUUAAAAUCCAAGGCCCAAUAAUCAACGAUACCAUCGAAAACACAAAUCAUUUAGUAUAAAAUAUUUAUAAAAAUAAUACGGGAAAAAUCCAACGAGGCAAGUGAACCCAUACCUCAAUUCAAAACUUAGAUCGUACUUUUAUCAUAGUUCACAAAUUAAUCAUACUCGAAUUCGCACACAUGUCACGAAUCUCUAAUUCUAAUAAUAAACCAUAAUUGUAUUUCUGUCCAAAGGUUUUCUAUGCAUAAAUCCAAACACAUAAAAACCAACUUAGAUUAAUCAAAUCCUUGACUAAAAGACAUAAAUUGGAUUCACCAAUUAUCUCAAUGCUUCAAAUAGCGUUCUCACCUAUUUGAACUGAUUAUAGUUCCCAGCAAUUAAAUCAGUUCAAUGAUUUACCCUAAUUUUUUAUAUUGGUGUGCAACAUUCAUUCAAGCUCCAAACAUCACAAUCCAUCAAGAACACACUAGAAAUCAAACAUUUAAGCUUAGUUAGUAAGAAUCCCAAAUAAAAUUGAAUUCUGGAACGCGUACAACAGUCUUCAAAAUUUACCUAUUUGUAAUCCGACUUAUAAAACUCAGGUUAUGAAAUUACAGUGAAGAAGUUGGAACUUCUGUUUAAUUUUUUCUUCUUUUUCUUCGGGUCUAAAGGCAAGGAAAACACUUUGUUUUCCCUCUUUGAGACAUCACGUCCUCCAGCUCCCCUCUUCAAUUCAUUCCUUUACACUUUUCUUUUAUCUGUGGUCCAAUUAAGAUUCUCCACGUGUGACCACAUGUCAACCGCAAACAAGACCUGCACCUUUGUUGGCUACCUGCUAUUUGCACAUGUAACUCACCUCUAAAAUUGAAACACGCAAUAAAUUAACUCAUCUCAGUGAUUUUAGUAGUGGGGAUCCUUGUUUAGUAAUAAAAAAGUUUACUAGCUAAACCAUGAUGAUUUUGUUGCCGUGCUUCUAAAGAAAGUUAAAAUUUUAUUAUAAAAUUAAUUGGUAAUAUGAAGAAUAAUUUUACUUAUUUAUAAGUCAAUGUAAGGUUCAUCAUCUCAUCAAUGCGGAUUCAUUCUCAAUACGCUCAUUCAGGUGUGACCAUUUCUCAAGCUUAACACGUAGAAUACAUAACAAGGUGACGUAGAGCACGUGUGGAUGUUUGGCUGCACAUGUGGGACAACCU
rnacentral:lncRNA from 1 species